rnacentral:rRNA from 1 species
GUGGGGAAUUUUCCGCAAUGGGCGAAAGCUUGACGGAGCAAUGCCGCGUGGAGGUAGAAGGCCUACGGGUCGUGAACUUCUUUUCCCAGAGAAGAAGCAAUGACGGUAUCUGGGGAAUAAGCAUCGGCUAACUCUGUGCCAGCAGCCGCGGUAAUACAGAGGAUGCAAGCGUUAUCCGGAAUGAUUGGGCGUAAAGCGUCUGUAGGUGGCUUUUUAAGUCCGCCGUCAAAUCCCAGGGCUCAACCCUGGACAGGCGGUGGAAACUGCCAAGCUGGAGUACGGUAGGGGCAGAGGGAAUUUCCGGUGGAGCGGUGAAAUGCGUAGAGAUCGGAAAGAACACCAACGGUGAAAACACUCUGCUGGGCCGACACUGACACUGAGAGACGAAAGCUAGGGGAGCGAAUGGGAUUAGAUACCCCGGUAGUCC